rnacentral:rRNA from 1 species
UACGUAGGGAGCAAGCGUUGUCCGGAAUCAUUGGGCGUAAAGCGCGCGUAGGUGGCCAUGUAAGUCCGCUUUGAAAGUCGAAGGCUCAACCUUCGAAAGCCGGUGGAUACUGCAUGGCUAGAGUACGGAAGAGGCGAGUGGAAUUCCUGGUGUAGCGGUGGAAUGCGCAGAUAUCAGGAGGAACACCAAUAGCGAAGGCAGCUCGCUGGGACGUUACUGACACUGAGGCGCGAAAGCGUGGGGAGCGAACAGG